GCGGGGCCCGGGGGUCGCAGAGCCCCAGCCGGGGCUCGGGCAGCUCUCGCUGCCCCCGGGCUCCUCUGGCGCCGGGGCUCCCGUGUUCCCUCGGGCGGUCGCAGCUCUGGGGCUGUCUCAGCCCCCCGGGCAGGCGUGCUCUGGCGUUUAGAGAAGCGGAGGCGUUGCCUGAGGCACUGCUGGAGCUCUAUUUGCUAGAAGGCAUUGAAGAAAGCCACAAACAUGCAAUUACAAUUUACUUGCUGCUAGACAUCAUACAUUCCUUUCCAAAUAAAACAGAAACUUCAGUCGACUCCUUCACAGCUGCCUUUGCUAUCCCUUGGGGUCUUGUUAAGCUUAUUCAAGGUUUUUGGCUUCUAGACCACAAGGACUAUGAAAAUUCCCUGGCCCUGCUCGUUGAACCAGCUGCAAUCAAACCUGUGUCGUGGCAAGACGUGAGAAUUCUUCAGUCCCUCGUGUGCCAAGGAGAGCAUAGGCGAGCCCUCAGAUAUAUACAGGUGCAUGGCAGAGGCUUAAAUUCUGCUGCAGGAACACACCACUAAGAUAAACGUGGAAGAGCUAUUAAAAGAUAUGUAUGACAUCUGUCGGGAGAUGGGACUAGUGGAAGACUUCCUGAAGCUGCCUUUCACAGACUCUGAACAAAAGUGUUCGGAGAAAUUUUUACAGAAUCAUGAAAUUCUUUUAGUCCAGCACCUGCAGCGUGCCAACUGUACGGCAGCAGCACGGCUGAACCAGGCGAUGAACAUUCAUCUCACGAAUGAUUGUGCUCCUCGCUGGAGACAGAGAGCAGUUGCCAGAAAUUCUCUAUCAGGCCAACACGGCAAGACCCUUCCUAGAGGUCAGAGGCAGCUGGCUGUAGAGAGAGCCAAGCCUUACCAUCUGCCUUCAUCUGGACCAAGAGCAGGUAAUUUUUAGGAGGGGAAUAUAAGGCACAACUAACCAUCGCUUUGAUUGCACAAGGCUGAUCGUUUUUCCCUCUUACUUUACAGCCGCAAGAGCAAAGCCAUUCUCAACGGUAACAAAACCAGCUAAUGCAGGAAAUGUGGAUCCAAGAGCACCUUUCAGCAGUCGUGUAUUGGCCAAAGUUAGAGAGUUAUGGGUUUCCAUCGCAGGAAUGCUGUUUUCACCAAAGCAGUCAAAAUGAUGAGUGCCUUUGAGAUGCUCGGAGAGAAAUGUUCUGUGAUUCCUUUUGAAUUACAUCUGUUCCUCAAAUAAAAAGCGUUUUCCAGUGCACU